rnacentral:lncRNA from 10 species
CUUCCUCAUCUGACAGGUGAGACGUGGUCUUGUAACACAGUGGUUAAGAAUGUGACUUUGGAGCCAGCCUGCUAGGGGCUGAAUUCUGACUCAGCCAUUUACUAACUGUGUGACCUUAGGGAGGAGGACCUGGUUGAUAGAAGAAUUUAUCUCGUAGUCUUAACAUCCACUGUAAUUCCAAACUUUGAGGACGAUAGAGAUCAGUGGGCUUUGACUGCCCAGCAUGCAGUCUCCAUUCUUAGGUGGGUUCCCAAGCCUGUAAAAUGUAAGCCUUAUGCUGCUGAGGGCCAUCUUGCCACCCUGAGGGAAACGCUGCCUGAGAAUGAAACAAGCAUAAGUAAAAGCUGAGCUGUGAGAUGGAGCAAGAUGAAGGCCACAUGACAUCUUUGGAGCACCUGGAUCUAACUGUGCCUUAAGCUAGUCUAACCCUGAACAUUUCAUCAUUUCAUUGACAUGAGCCCAGGUUUUCU